AACACUGAGUUGUGUCUCUGCUGUUGUAGGUAACGGACUGAGCGCGCACAAUGGAGAGAGGAGCAGCCAUCCAGACAGGCAGUUCACCAUGCCCCCUAGUGUUCCUGCACGCAAAGACAGGAAAGACAUGCCAAAACCAAUCAGCAACGGACUCCCUCCGACACCAAAAGUACAUAUGGGUGCGUGUUUCUCUAAAGUGUUCAACGGCUGUCCUCUGAAGAUCCUUGUG